rnacentral:misc_RNA from 1 species
AACUCAUCGUGGGCGAGACGCUGGACCGGAUCGCCCAGAAGCACGCGACGCCGGCGAGCUACUUCGCCGACGCGCGCCGGGAUCUUCAGGAAGCCACUGAAUUCGUGCGUGCGAAGAACCUGCUCCCGCUGCCGGCGCGGGACAACCUCCAGGUGAUCGAGACGCCCGAAUUCAUGCGGGGCAUCUACGCCGUGGGGGGAUUCGUCCAGGCGCCUGCGCUGGAGCCCCAACUGGGCGCCUUCUACUGGUUGACCCCGAUCCCCAAAGACUGGCCGCGCCAAGCGGAUCGACUCGAAACUUCGCGAGUACAACUUCUAUAGCUUGAAGAUCCUGACGAUUCACGAGGCCAUGCCGGGGCACUACGUGCAGUUCGAAUACGCCAACCAGGUUCAGCCGCAGUCGCGCCGCGUGCUGCGGGGGGUGUUCGGCAACGGUGCGUACGUCGAAGGCUGGGCCGUUUACUCGACCCAGAUGAUGCUCGACGAGGGGUAUCUGGGCGGCAGUCCGGAGCUGCGGCUCACCUUUCUGAAACAGCAGUUGCGCAUGCUGGCCAACACCAUUCUGGACAUUCGUCUCCAGACCCUCAAUAUGACCGACCAGGACGCCAUGGACCUGAUGGUCAAACAGGCGUUUCAGGAAACCGAAGAGGCAACGGCCAAGCUCAGACGAGCCCAGCUCUCCUCCUGCCAGUUGCCGACCUACUACGUAGGGUAGCGCGAUGGCUGCGCGUCAGGGAGCAGUAUCGCCAGACGAAGGGACUGGCUUCAAGUUGUCCGAUUUCCACCGCCAGGCACUGGCCCCCGGCGCAGUACCGCUCCCUGCGCUAGCGCGCACCCUGACAGGGAAGGUGUUGGGGAAGUAGGGGGGAGGGAAGUACAGUUGAACGGCCGGCCGGCCGUUCAACGUUGCAAUACCUGCAUCCCGCCACAUCCCUGACGCAUCAGUAAAACAAGUGACAGAGAGCGGGCCAAAGGAGGCUACAGGUGAAGCGAAGUGUUGUGAUGACCAUGAGUCUGAUAGCGAUUCUAGCCGUGACGUCGGGGUACGCGCAAGCGCAGUCGACGAUCACGGGGAAGAUAGGGUUCCCGUUCAAGGUCGGGACAAAAGCCCUGCAGGCUGGGCAGUAUGAUUUCGUGCUCGACACCGCAUCGGCGGUGGUCCGGGUCGUCCUCUGGGGGUAAGCACGUGGCCCUCGUGCCGAUCAUUACCCGGCUGUCAGGUGCGAUUCAUACAACGCCGAAGGACUCCCACCUUGUGUUCGACAAAGUCGGGGAUACCCACUUGCUGUCGGAGAUCUGGGUUCCGGGCCAAAAUGGGUACGUGUUGGCGAACACCAAGGGACCACACGAGCAUGAUGUCGUGGACGUUCCGCGCUAAGCGGGCCUCCGCAGCGGUGUGA